UGAGGAACAUGACCUUCGGCGGGGGAUAGCCGGCCCAACGGCCGGGUAAUACCGCGUACGACCACAUGGGGACACUCCCUGAGUGGUGAAAGCAGCAAUGCGCCGAAAGAGCGCCUCGCGGCCUAUCAGCUAGUUGGUGGGGUAAUGGCUCACCAAGGCGACGACGGGUAGCUGGUCUGAGAGGACGAUCAGCCACACUGGGACUGAGACACGGCCCAGACUCCGUAGGGAGG
rnacentral:rRNA from 1 species